UGGGGAAUAUUGCACAAUGGGGGAAACCCUGAUGCAGCGACGCCGCGUGAACGAAGAAGGUAUUCGUAUCGUAAAGUUCUGUCCUAUGGGAAGAUAAUGACAGUACCAUAGAAGAAAGCUCCGGCUAAAUACGUGCCAGCAGCCGCGGUAAUACGUAUGGAGCGAGUGUUGUCCGGAAUUAUUGGGCGUAAAGGGUACGCAGGCGGUUUAAUAAGUCGAAUGUUAAAGAUCGGGGCUCAACCCCGUAAAGCAUUGGAAACUGAUAAACUUGAGUAGUGGAGAGGAAAGUGGAAUUCCUAGUGUAGUGGUGAAAUACGUAGAUAUUAGGAGGAAUACCAGUAGCGAAGGCGACUUUCUGGACACAAACUGACGCUGAGGUACGAAAGCGUGGGGAGCAAACAGG
rnacentral:rRNA from 1 species